ACUCAAAUGAAUUGACGGGGGCCCGCACAAGCGGCGGAGCAUGCGGAUUAAUUCGAUGCAACGCGAAGAACCUUACCAAGGCUUGACAUGCGCGGUGGAAUCCCAGAGAUGGGGUGUCAUUUAGUUGGUCGCGUACAGGUGGUGCAUGGUUGUCGUCAGCUCGUGUCGUGAGAUGUUGGGUUAAGUCCCGCAACGAGCGCAACCCUCGUUCCAUGUUGCCAGCACGUAGUGGUGGGGACUCAUGGGAGACUGCCGGGGUCAACUCGGAGGAAGGUGGGGAUGACGUCAAAUCAUCAUGCCCCUUAUGUCUUGGGCUUCACGCAUGCUACAAUGGCCAGUACAGAGGGCUGCGAUACCGUGAGGUGGAGCGAAUCCCAAAAAGCUGGUCUCAGUUCGGAUCGGGGUCUGCAACUCGACCCCGUGAAGUCGGAGUCGCUAGUAAUCGCAGAUCAGCAACGCUGCGGUGAAUACGUUCCCGGGCCUUGUACACACCGCCCGU
rnacentral:rRNA from 1 species